AUACAUUUUUAUGAUGUGAAAAUUGUCACAAGUUCCUAAGGCUUUUUAUCCAUUGACAUUGUCAAUUGCUUCCUAAUAGAAUUUUAAUGGGUGUUCAAUAAUUCACAAUGUAUGUAAAGGUAUUAAACUUCAGUUUUAUCCUGUUGCGGAUAAUAUAUAUUGCACUUAUUGACAUUUUAAUUCAAAGAAAAAUUGAACUGAAAAUGAUUCAUCUGGGUAAAUAUCAUGUUUAUUUACUUUUGGGGACUUUUUAGUAAAUGAAGACCAAUUUAUCCACAUGAUCCAGCUUUCUUUCAAAGUUAGAAGAAAAAAAAUACCAUUUUGGUCAGACACGUAUCACUAAAUAGUAAAAAUGAAAAAGAAAAAAUGAAAUGAAAUGAAAAUAUUGAAAAAAUAAAAUUAAUUUGGCCAUGAUGUCGAUCCAUCUUACUUGAGCAAAAUGAUUAUCACAUGUUCACAAUAUUCACUUAUUUUUUUUCUCAAGACACCGACAUUUGAGGAACUAAAAAAUGAAAUAACACCUUCACUACCAAUGCAAUAUACUGCCAAAAGUUUCAGAUUAACAACAGCGAUUUGGAAAAUCUUGGCUUGCAUACAAAUAGUUUAGAGAUGUCAACCCCUUUUAGUGGCAAAGGUUCUUCUUGAUACUAUUUGUGAAGAUGAAAUCUUAAACUUGCACUCCAAACAAUUCUGAGACACGAGUGUGUCCUUGUGAAAAUGUAUACUUAAGAAAAACUUCCGCUACUAGAUAUACAUGUAUCAUUAGUAUGUUUUUUUUAUACAUGUGCUGGUAGAUAAGAAAAUACUUAACAUGUAAUUUCAAUAGCUAAUUCUGUCC
rnacentral:lncRNA from 1 species